AUUGAACGCUGGCGGCAGGCUUAACACAUGCAAGUCUAACGAGUGGCGGACGGGUGAGUAAUGCUUGGGAAUCUAGCUUAUGGAGGGGGAUAACUACGGGAAACUGUAGCUAAUACCGCGUACCAUAGGCUGAGCCCAAGUGGGAUUAGGUAGUUGGUGAGGUAAAGGCUCACCAAGCCGACGAUCUCUAGCUGGUCGGAGAGGAUGAACAGCCACACGGGGACUGAGACACGGCCCAGACUCCUACGGGAGGCAGCAGUGGGGAAUAUUGCACAAUGGGCGCAAGCCUGAUGCAGCCAUGCCGCGUGUAUUAAGAAGGCCUUCGGGUUGUAAAGUACUUUCAGUCGGGAGGCGUUACCGACAGAAGAAGCACCGGCUAACUCCGUGCCAGCCGCCGCGGUAAUUC
rnacentral:rRNA from 1 species